rnacentral:rRNA from 1 species
UGGGGAAUUUUGCACAAUGGGGGAAACCCUGAUGCAGCGACGCCGCGUGAUUUAGAAGGCCUUCGGGUUGUAAAAAUCUUUUCUAUGGGAAGAAAAUGACAGUACCAUAGGAAUAAGGACCGGCUAAUUACGUGCCAGCAGCCGCGGUAAUACGUAAGGUCCGAGCGUUGUCCGGAAUCAUUGGGCGUAAAGGGUACGUAGGCGGGUAAGCAAGUUAGAAGUGAAAUCCUAUAGCUCAACUAUAGUAAGCUUUUAAAACUGCUCAUCUUGAGGUAUGGAAGGGAAAGUGGAAUUCCUAGUGUAGCGGUGAAAUGCGCAGAUAUUAGGAGGGAUACCGGUGGCGAAGGCGACUUUCUGGCCAUAACCUGACGCUGAGGUACGAAAGCGUGGGUAGCAAACAGG